rnacentral:rRNA from 1 species
AGAACGAACGCUGGCGGCAGGCUUAACACAUGCAAGUCGAGCGCCCCGCAAGGGGAGCGGCAGACGGGUGAGUAACGCGUGGGAAUCUACCUAGCUCUUCGGAAUAGCUCCGGGAAACUGGAAUUAAUACCGAGUACGCCCUACGGGGGAAAGAUUUAUCGGAGUUAGAUGAGCCCGCGUUGGAUUAGCUAGUUGGUGGGGUAAUGGCCUACCAAGGCGACGAUCCAUAGCUGGUCUGAGAGGAUGAUCAGCCACACUGGGACUGAGACACGGCCCAGACUCCUACGGGAGGCAGCAGUGGGGAAUAUUGGACAAUGGGCGCAAGCCUGAUCCAGCCAUGCCGCGUGAGUGAUGAAGGCCCUAGGGUUGUAAAGCUCUUUCAGUGGGAAGAUAAUGACGGUACCACAGAAGAAGCCCGGCUAAACUCGUGCCAGCAGCCGC